AACUCCGUAUUUUAAUGGUAGAAUACGACCUUAACACGGUCGAGACGGGAGAUCAAUACUCCCCGGAGUUA
rfam:Pseudocohnilembus persalinus scaffold68, whole genome shotgun sequence.